GCCGGGUGUUGUGGCGGGCGCCUGUAAUCUCAGCUACUUAGGAGGCUGAGGCAGGAGAAUCACUUGAACCCGGGAGGCAGAGGUUGCAGUGAGCUGAGACUGCACCACUGCACUCCAGCCUGGGCGACAAAGUGAGACUCUGUCUCAA
rnacentral:SRP_RNA from 1 species